GAUGAACGCUGGCGGCGUGCCUAAUACAUGCAAGUCGAGCGAAGCGGGGACGGGUGAGUAACACGUGGUUACCCUCCUUUAAGACUGGGUUAACUUCGGGAAACCGGAGCCAAAUCCGUUACUUAUAUAUGGCUCCGCGGUGCAUUAGCUAGUUGGUAAGUGAACGGCUUACCAAGGCAACGCUGCAUAGCCGACCUGAGAGGGUGAUCGGCCACACUGGAACUGAGACACGGUCCAGACUCCUACGGGAGGCAGCAGUAGGGAAUCUUCCGCAAUGGGCGAAAGCCUGACGGAGCAACGCCGCGUGAGUGAUGAAGGUCUUCGGAUCGUAAAACUCUGUUAUUAGGGAAGCGGUACCUAAUCAGAAAGCCACGGCUAACUACGUGCCAGCAGCCGCGGUAAUUC
rnacentral:rRNA from 1 species